UACGUAGGGGGCAAGCGUUGUUCGGAAUUACUGGGCGUAAAGGGCGCGUAGGCGGUCUUGUCAGUCCCUUGUGAAAUCCCCCCGGCUCAACUGGGGAACUGCAAGGGAAACAGCAGGGCUUGAGUUCGGGAGAGGGAAGCGGAAUUCCGGGUGUAGCGGUGAAAUGCGUAGAUAUCAGGAGGAACACCGGUGGCGAAGGCGGCCAGCUGGGAUACACCUGACGCUGAGGCACGAAGGCGUGGGGAGCGAACGGG
rnacentral:rRNA from 1 species